rnacentral:rRNA from 1 species
UACGGGGGGGAGCAAGCGUUGUUCGGAUUUACUGGGCGUAAAGGGCGCGUAGGCGGCCACCGCAAGUCGGUUGUGAAAUCUCCGGGCUUAACCCGGAAAGGUCAAUCGAUACUGCGGGGCUAGAGUGCAGAAGGGGCAACUGGAAUUCUCGGUGUAGCGGUGAAAUGCGUAGAUAUCGAGAGGAACACCUGCGGCGAAGGCGGGUUGCUGGGCUGAUACUGACGCUGGAGGCGCGAAAGCUAGGGGAGCGAACGGG